AGUCUAUAUUUAUUUUUGUUUUUUGAUUUUUGAUUUUAUUUUAAUAUAAGUGGAUUUAUUUUUAUUUGUUUGAGUAAAUAUUUAGAAGGAAUUUUUUUAUGAUAGUUUAAUAUUAAAGUAGUUGGUAAUUUUUAUUUUUAAUAAAGUAGAUUUAAUUUAAUUGUACCUUUUGUAUCAGGGUUUAUCUAAUUUUUUUAUUUAAUUGGUUUCUCUCGAUUUAAAUUGAUUUAUAAUAUUAUUUUAGUUAAUGUUGAAUAAUUAUUAAUAAUAAUAUUAUGUUAAUGAUAUGUUAUUCGUAUUUUAAGAUAUCUAGUUUCUUAAGAUUAAGUUAAAUUUUUUAAGAUCCUUAAUAAUGGUUUGUUAUAGGGUUUUUUUAUGAGUUUUUAAUAAUAGUAAAAGGGAUAAGCUUUUUAUUUUGCUAUAARKUUUAUAAUUUAUUUWUAUGUUUAGGCUUUAAAUUAGCCAUUAAUUUUAAGUUCGUUUUAGUUUAUAUUUUARUWUAUUUAUAUUUAUUUUUGUUUUAGCUUUUUUAUUAAGAURAUAAAAUUAAUUUAAAAUUUAAUGUAAUARUGAUUYMAUUAGUAUAAUUAUUUUUGUUUAUAUUUUUAUUUUUCUUUAAUUUAGAUAAAGGAAUUAGGCAAAUAUYRAUUCUCGCCUGUUUAUCAAAAACAUGUCUUUUUGAAUAUAAUUUAAAGUCUAACCUGCCCAAUGGUUUAUUUUAAUGGCCGCGGUAUAUUGACCGUGCAAAGGUAGCAUAAUCAUUAGUCUUUUAAUUAAAGGCUGGAAUGAAUGGUUUGACGAGGAAUUGACUGUCUCUGUUUAAUAAUUAAAAUUUAAAUUUUCAGUGAAAAGGCUGAAAUUUUGAUUAAGGACGAGAAGACCCUAUAGAGUUUUAUAUAUAGUUUUAUAAAUUGUUUAGUUUUAAUUUUAAAUUUAUAUUUUAUUUAUAUUUGGUUGGGGUGACAGGGGAAAUAAUUAAACUUCCCUUUUUUGUUACAUUUAUUUAUGUUAUAUGAUCCUUAAUUUUGGAUUUUAAGAUUAAAUUACCUUAGGGAUAACAGCGUAAUUAAUUUUAAGAGUUCUUAUCGACAAAUUAGUUUGCGACCUCGAUGUUGGAUUAAGAUUAAUUUUAGGUGUAGUGGCUUAAAUGAUUAGGUCUGUUCGACCUUUAAUUUCUUACAUGAUCUGAGUUCAGACCGGCGUGAGCCAGGUCGGUUUCUAUCCUAAACUUAUUAAAUUAUAUUAGUACGAGAGGACCAUAUAUUUUAGAUUAUCUGUUAUUAUUGAAUAUUAUUAAUUUU
rnacentral:rRNA from 1 species